CUGUUGUAUGAAAGGAAAAAUGUUAGUACUUUCCUUGUCAAGGAUGAGAGACGUCCUUAGGCCUGCACCACACAUGCAUGGGUAAGACAUUCCCACUUACUUUGUGGCAUGGUUCCUUUUUUUAUUU
ensembl:snRNA